GACGGAGGAUGCAAGUGUUAUCCGGAAUCACUGGGCGUAAAGCGUCUGUAGGUGGUUCGAAAAGUCCACUGUUAAAGAUUGAGGCUUAACUUCAAAAAUGCCGUGGAAACUUUCAAACUAGAGUAUGGUAGGGGUAGAGGGAAUUUCCAGUGGAGCGGUGAAAUGCGUAGAUAUUGGAAAGACCACCGAUGGCGAAGGCACUCUACUGGGCCAUUACUG
rnacentral:rRNA from 1 species